rnacentral:rRNA from 1 species
AUUGAACGCUGGCGGCAUGCUUUACACAUGCAAGUCGAACGGUAACAGGCCGCAAGGUGCUGACGAGUGGCGAACGGGUGAGUAAUGCAUCGGAACGUGCCCAGUCGUGGGGGAUAACGCAGCGAAAGCUGCGCUAAUACCGCAUACGAUCUAUGGAUGAAAGCGGGGGACCGUAAGGCCUCGCGCGAUUGGAGCGGCCGAUGUCAGAUUAGGUAGUUGGUGGGGUAAAGGCUCACCAAGCCAACGAUCUGUAGCUGGUCUGAGAGGACGACCAGCCACACUGGGACUGAUACACGGCCCAGACUCCUACGGGAGGCAGCAGUGGGGAAUUUUGGACAAUGGGCGCAAGCCUGAGCCAGCAAUGCCGCGUGCAGGAAGAAGGCCUUCGGGUUGUAAACUGCUUUUGUACGGAACGAAACGGUCCUGGUUAAUACCUGGGGCUAAUGAUGGUACCGUAAGAAUAAGCACCGGCUAACUACGUGCCAGCCGCCGCAGUAAGAC